rnacentral:rRNA from 1 species
GACGAACGCUGGCGGCGUGCCUAAUACAUGCAAGUCGAGCGAAGUUUUUCUGGUGCUUGCACUAGAAAAACUUAGCGGCGAGCGGGUGAGUAACACGUAAAGAACCUGCCUCAUAGACUGGGACAACUAUUGGAAACGAUAGCUAAUACCGGAUAACAGUAUUUCUCGCAUGAGAGAUAUUUAAAAGUUGGUUAUGCUAACACUAUGAGAUGGCUUUGCGGUGCAUUAGCUAGUUGGUGGGGUAAAGGCCCACCAAGGCGACGAUGCAUAGCCGACCUGAGAGGGUGAUCGGCCACACCGGGACUGAGACACGGCCCAGACUCCUACGGGAGGCAGCAGUAGGGAAUCUUCCGCAAUGGGCGAAAGCCUGACGGAGCAACGCCGCGUGAGUGAAGAAGGAUUUCGGUUCGUAAAGCUCUGUUGUUAGGGAAGAAUGGAUAUGUAGUAACUAUACAUGUAAGAGACGGUACCUAACCAGAAAGCCACGGCUAACUACGUG